GAAAUGCGAUAAGUAAUGUGAAUUGCAAAAUUCCGUGAAUCAUUAAAUCUUUGAACGCACCUUGCGCUCUUUGGCAAUCCAGAGAGCAUGUCUGUUUGAGAAUCAGUUUAAAUCUCACUUCCCUAGUUGGAAACAGCUAGGAAAGUGGUUGUGGGCUUUUCACUUACCCUGAAAUUCCUUAAAUUCAAGUUGCCUGGUGUACCGUUGAAACGUAACCGGAAAGCAUGACCAAAGGACGCUUGUUCUUGAUUGCUGAUAAAGGCCGUGUAGAUGAUGCUUCUUGCAAGAAAAUUUAAACACGAAAGUAGCAAUACUUUUAAGACUUGAUCUCAAAUCAGAUAAGACUACCCGCUGAACUUAA
rnacentral:misc_RNA from 1 species